rnacentral:rRNA from 1 species
UACCAGACUCCUACGGGAGGCAGCAGUGGGGAAUAUUGCACAAUGGGGGAAACCCUGAUGCAGCGACGCCGCGUGAGCGAUGAAGUAUUUCGGUAUGUAAAGCCCUGUCAGCAGGGAAGAAAAUGACGGUACCUGAAGAAGAAGCCCCGGCUAACUACGUGCCAGCAGCCGCGGUAAUACGUAGGGGGCAAGCGUUAUCCGGAUUUACUGGGUGUAAAGGGGGCGCAGACGGCGAUGCAAGCCAGGAGUGAAAGCCCGGGGCCCAACCCCGGGACUGCUCUUGGAACUGCGUGGCUGGAGUGCAGGAGGGGCAGGCGGAAUUCCUGGUGUAGCGGUGAAAUGCGUAGAUAUCAGGAGGAACACCGGUGGCGAAGGCGGCCUGCUGGACUGCAACUGACGUUGAGGCCCGAAAGCGUGGGGAGCAAACAGGAUUAGAUACCCCAGUA